CUGUGAAUAUUCUUGUUCUGAUUUUGUAAUAACUCAGGGGGAGGGGAUAAAUAUUCACUAUAUUAAGGCUAUGCAUGUGUCCUGAGAUCUAGUUCUUUCCCUAGCUCUGGUUUUAUCAAUGCUCAUAAUAGAC